GCAUCAGUGGUGUAGCGGUAACAUUGGGUCUUCCCAUCUCCUGUAACUUCAUUGGCCUAGCUCCGGGUUCGACUCCCGGCUGAUGCA